rnacentral:rRNA from 1 species
UGGGGAAUUUUGGACAAUGGGCGAAAGCCUGAUCCAGCAAUGCCGCGUGUGUGAAGAAGGCCUUCGGGUUGUAAAGCACUUUUGUCCGGAAAGAAAUCCUUGGCUCUAAUACAGUCGGGGGAUGACGGUACCGGAAGAAUAAGCACCGGCUAACUACGUGCCAGCAGCCGCGGUAAUACGUAGGGUGCAAGCGUUAAUCGGAAUUACUGGGCGUAAAGCGUGCGCAGGCGGUUUGCUAAGACCGAUGUGAAAUCCCCGGGCUCAACCUGGGAACUGCAUUGGUGACUGGCAGGCUAGAGUAUGGCAGAGGGGGGUAGAAUUCCACGUGUAGCAGUGAAAUGCGUAGAGAUGUGGAGGAAUACCGAUGGCGAAGGCAGCCCCCUGGGCCAAAUACUGACGCUCAUGCACGAAAAGCGUGGGGAGCAAAACAGGAUUAGAUACCCUGGUAGUCCACGCCCUAAAACGAUGUCAACUAGUUGUUGGGGAUUCAUUUCCUUAGUAACGUAGCUAACGCGUGAAGUUGACCGCCUGGGGAGUACGGUCGCAAGAUUAAAACUCAAAGGAAUUGACGGGGUCAUAGCUG